AACAGCUUUCCGAGGACCCACUGUA
rnacentral:piRNA from 1 species